rnacentral:rRNA from 1 species
UACGAAGGUGGCAAGCGUUGUUCGGAUUCACUGGGCGUACAGGGUGUGUAGGCGGUUUGGUAAGCCUUCUGUUAAAGCUUCGGGCCCAACCCGGAAAGCGCAGAGGGUACUGCCAGGCUAGAGGACGGGAGAGGAGCGCGGAAUUCCCGGUGUAGCGGUGAAAUGCGUAGAUAUCUGGAGGAACACCGGUGGCGAAGGCGGCAUCCUGGACCGGCAUUGACGCUGAGGCGCGAAAGCCAGGGGAGCAAACGGG